UUUACCCAAAUACCCGAUGCAUUUCGAAUUCUAAGUUCAUCCCACGUCUGCAGCACCUGCGUUGCCUACCCGCGACGGCCCUCCCUUUGCCUAGUGCCACCACGCGUCACCAUUUGUGCCCAGCACCCGCCGUUGCCCUUUCUCUACUCUAGGUCCCACGUCGCCAUCGCACAUCCUCAACCCAGCACCCUGUGUCGUCGUCGAUCAUCCUCUGCAAGACAAACAACUUUGCAAGAAUUCGAAAUAAUGAUGGAGAUCGAAAAUGAGAUUGGACAACACUUUGGACACCUUCAGAAUUAAAGAUUUAUGGAAAUAGUUGCAGCCAAAUAGUGGCCAUGGGAGUUGUAUUUGUCUUUGGUGGGGUUGCAUCCAAAGGGUUGUCAAAGGAUUCAUUGACUAUGAUUACAUCCACCAUGUGUACCUUGUGUAUAUACUUAUAUGUACUUGAAAUUCAGACUGAUGGAUAUAACAGCUUUAUAUGAAUUUCUGUUAUUUUGGUUUAGCUCUAAA